rnacentral:lncRNA from 1 species
GUUGGAGGGUUAAUAUUUUAUGCCAAUGUAUAAGACUAACAAAUUCAACCUCAAACCAAAAUUCUGAGUGAUUUAACUUAAUUAUCACCUCCAACAAUUCUCAAACCAAACAAUUUGGACUAGGCACCCCAGUUAAAACCUUCUGAUGGAUGCUCAAAUGACACAACUUCCAUAUUUUCUUAAAACAAAUAAAUUAAAGGAAAAGAGGAUAAACAAAAAGAAGAUAGAAAGGAAAAAGAAAAAGAAAGAGCAAAACCACUCCUCUCCUCCCCCAUGCUUCCUACUCUCCUCCCCACCCAUCUUCUUCAUUGCGCCACUACCAUGGAUGAAUUUAAGACCGAUUCUUCAGUGACAAUGCCAUGGAAUUGGUCUCUGGAAGAC